UGCACCAUUCUUCAUUUAGCAGACAGUGUUUUAUUCAGAGUGACUUUUCUACUGCAGUGCCAGUCCACCUGGAGCAACCUCGGGGCUAAAUGACUUGCUGUAGGGCACAGUGUUCUUUGUCUAUAUGCAUUUGCAAAAUUGGUGACAUCUUGAAUCUACAUUAUUCUCCAGGUUCCCCCUGUUCACGGCUGUUUAUCAGAUCUGUUUCGAGGGCAAGCCAGUUCAGGACAUGAUCACCUGCCUGCAGAGCCAUCCAGAGCACCUGUGAGAGUCCCACAUUGUCCCUCUUCUCCACCAUCAUCCCCUAUGGUCCAGUUCUACACUAAUGGCUAGGCUUGAACUCAGGGGUUUGUUUCUGACCUUGCAGGUUUUGUUGUUAUCAAACAUGACAAUGAACUCAAAGAGAUUUUUCAGAAACUAUGAAAAGUUGGAGUUUUUAACUAUUUUCUCUCUGUCUGACUGCCCUCUUGUGGAUGGUCCACAAUAUCACCUCACUGACAGAUGAGAUGAAAUGACUCUUUAUAAAUUACUAUAGAGAUCUCUUCAUAGAGGCUCACUACACGUCCAUAUUGAGAGCAACACGACAAGACUAGAAUGCCUCUGUUACAGUCUUUAAUAUCCUGUAGAACCAGCAUGAUACCAGUUUUUUGAUACUUUCACAUAUUGUUCGACACAGGCAUAAGAUAGGUUUAAAACUAAGUAUGCAAUUCAAAUUGCUUAGUUUCUUAUUAAUAAAUAAUGAAACUGCCAUUUACACUGAACAUUUUGGCACAUGUUAGAUGAAGUAAAACUAGAUUUCUGUGAAGAUGCCUUUUAACUCCUCACAGGUCAAUGAAUACUUGAAUGGACUCGCUAUGGGUUUGAGGUUGUUUUUGUUUUGAGGGGAGAUUUUGUUUUGUUUUAAAGGACAAUAUAUUCUAUAAAGGGGGCUUAAAUCUGUCAUCUCAAUUUCCCAGCAACCCCCUUUUAAGACUAAGUGCUUACAAAACUUGUUAUAGAACGACAUAGUUGACUAUACGUUUUAUCACGUUACAUUAAAAACAAUACAAUGCUACAUAUCUAAGCUUCAACAAUGCAUUGAAAUCCUCUUAGAAACCCCCAAUUAUUGAUGCCCUAUGUAGUAACUGUUUUAGCAUCCUGAAAAGCUGAUAAACUACAUCUACAGUUCCUGUUUUAAUAAUUCACAUUUCUAUGAAGAUUGGCAUUAAAAUACUAAUGUAAUCUUUAGUUGUACUAAGCAAAGAAUGAAGGAAUGAUUUAGUAAGAUCUGUAGUGUUCACAUGAGGGAGAGUGUUACGGGAGCAGCUAGUGUUUGGAUCCAUAAUGGCCUUCUUUUUUAGCACUAUACUGUGCU